rnacentral:tRNA from 1 species
GCUGGAAUCGUGUAGUGGCAAUCACAUCAGACUGUAAAUCUGACGCCUUUCGGCUUCGCAGGUUCGAGUCCUGCUUCCAGCACCA